CAAUAGCGUAUAUUAAAGUUGUUGCAGUUAAAAAGCUCGUAGUUGGAUUUCGGGGUGGCCUGCCUGGUCCACCGCAAGGUGAGUACUGGUCAGCCGCCCUUCCUCUCGAAAGCCCCGACUGCUCUUCAUUGCAGUGGUCGGGUAGUUCGGGACGUUUACUUUGAAAAAAUUAGAGUGUUCAAGGCAGGCUCUCGCCUGAAUACAUUAGCAUGGAAUAAUGGAAGAGGACCUCGGUCCUAUUUUGUUGGUUUCUAGGGCCGAAGUAAUGAUUAAGAGGGACAGUUGGGGGCAUUUGUAUUUCGUCGCUAGAGGUGAAAUUCUUAGAUUGACGAAAGACAAACUGCUGCGAAAGCGUCUGCCAAGGAUGUUUUCAUUGA
rnacentral:rRNA from 1 species